rnacentral:misc_RNA from 1 species
AGCAGCCGCGGUAAUUCCAGCUCCAAUAGCGUAUAUUAAAGUUGUUGCAGUUAAAAGCUCGUAGUUGAAUUUCGGGAUCAAAGGAUCGGUCAUGCCUUGGUAUGUACUGGUUUUAUUGGUUCUCACCUUCUAAAGAACCAUAAUGUCAUUCAUUUGAUGUUAUGGGGAAUUAGGACUGUUACCUUGAAAAAUUAGAGUGUUUAAAGCAGGCUUACGCUUGAAUACAUUAGCAUGGAAUAAUGAAAUAGGACAUCAGAUUCUAUUUUGUUGGUUUCUAGGAUCGAUGUAAUGAUUAAUAGGGAUAGUUGGGGGCAUUAGUAUUCAAUUGUCAGAGGUGAAAUUCUUGGAUUUAUUGAAGACUAACUACUGCGAAAGCAUUUGCCAAGGAUGUUUUCAUUAAUCAAGAACGAAAGUUUAGGGGAUCGAAGACGAUCAGAUACCGUCGUAGUCUUAACCAUAAACCUAUGCCGACUAGGGAUCGGAUGAUGUUAAUUUUAUAAUGACUCAUUCC